UUACGUGGGACGUAAAGCGCAUGCAGGUCGUUGUUAAGUCAGAUGUGAAAAGCCCGGGGCUUACAACCGUACGGUAAUUGCUAUUUAGAAACGUGGCGAACUAGAGUACUGUAGAGGGGGGUAGAAUUUCAGGUGUAGCGGUGAAAUGCGUAGAGAUCUGAAGGAAUACCGGUGGCGGAAGGACGGGCCCCCGUCCGGACGAGAAUACUGACACUCAGAUGCGAAAGCGUGGGGAGCAAACAGGAUUAGAUACCCUGGUAG
rnacentral:rRNA from 1 species